CCUACGGGAGGCAGCAGUGAGGAAUAUUGGUCAAUGGACGAGAGUCUGAACCAGCCAAGUAGCGUGAAGGAUGACUGCCCUAUGGGUUGUAAACUUCUUUUAUAUGGGAAUAAAACGUUCCACGUGUGGGAUUUUGUAUGUACCAUAUGAAUAAGGAUCGGCUAACUCCGGGCCAGCAGCCGCGGUAAUACGGAGGAUCCGAGCUUUAUCCGGAUUUAAUGGGUUUAAAGGGAUCGGAGGGGGAUUGUUAAGUCAGGUGGUAAAGCUUGCGGGUCAACCGUAAAAUUGCAGUUGAAACUGGCAGUCUUGAGUACAGUAGAGGUGGGCGGAAUUCGUGGUGUAGCGGUGAAAUGCUUAGAUAUCACGAAGAACUCCGAUUGCGAAGGCAGCUCACUGGACUGCAACUGACACUGAGGCUCGAAAGUGUGGGUAUCAAACAGGAUUAGAUACCCCAGUAGUC
rnacentral:rRNA from 1 species